UGGGGAAUAUUGCACAAUGGGCGAAAGCCUGAUGCAGCAACGCCGCGUGAGUGAUGAAGGCCUUCGGGUUGUAAAGCUCUGUCUUUUGGGACGAUAAUGACGGUACCAAAGGAGGAAGCCACGGCUAACUACGUGCCAGCAGCCGCGGUAAUACGUAGGUGGCAAGCGUUGUCCGGAUUUACUGGGCGUAAAGGAUGCGUAGGCGGAUUUUUAAGUGAGAUGUGAAAUACCCGGGCUUAACUUGGGUGCUGCAUUUCAAACUGGGAAUCUAGAGUGCGGGAGAGGAGAAUGGAAUUCCUAGUGUAGCGGUGAAAUGCGUAGAGAUUAGGAAGAACACCAGUGGCGAAGGCGAUUCUCUGGACCGUAACUGACGCUGAGGCAUGAAAGCGUGGGUAGCAAACAGGAUUAGAUACCCUGGUAGUCCACGCCGUAAACGAUGAGUACUAGGUGUAGGAGGUAUCGACCCCUUCUGUGCCGCAGUUAACACAAUAAGUACUCCGCCUGGGAAGUACGAUCGCAAGAUUAAACUUAAAUGAAUUGACGGGGUCAUAGC
rnacentral:rRNA from 1 species